rnacentral:rRNA from 1 species
GAUUUCUGACCUGAAACAUUUUGCCGGCCACGGUUUCGUGUGUUAGUGCUUGAUGUUCUGGUCAUCCUUCCAAUCGCUACUUGUUUCUCUUCAUUGAUUAGCAAGUGGUAUUGGAUCUUUUACUUUGAAAAAAUUAGAGUGUUUCAAGCAGGCUAUUGCUAUGAAUACAUUAGCAUGGAAUAAUAAUUUAGGACUUCGGUUCUAUUUUGUUGGUUUCUAGGACUGAAGUAAUGAUUGAUAGGGAUAGUUGGGGGUGCUAGUAUUCAGCGGCCAGAGGUGAAAUUCUUGGAUUCGCUGAAGACUAACUUAUGCGAAAGCAUU